UUGUCCAUUACAUAUAAUUGUGUUAUGUGGAUUGGAAUCAAACGAGAACGAAAACUACUUCAGGUUUCGACAAGAAGACACAGUUAAUCAGAUGGACAAGAUAAGCACUGAAUUUCUUUCUAUUUAAUUGUAAUCCCAUGUGUGUUUAUGAUGUGUCCUAAAAGGAUGUAUUUUAACUCUCUCCUGUUCGCUUUCUAGGUUAAUCCCCAAGUUUUUUUAGCAUUUUCGAGAAAUUUCUGUACCUCUCGGCUAAAAAGCAUAUUUGUUACUUUCCAUGAUGUUGUUUUGAUUUUGUUACGCUCCAUUUUUACUUUGUCGCAGUAAACUCCAUUGUGAAAAAGGUGGUUUGCAUAGUGUUUAUUUAGUUUCAGCUGAUGAUUAGCCCUUCACACAAAGAAGAAGAUAUUCGUUGUUCUGUGAAUGUAACCUGACGUUUCCCAGAUUUGGCGAAGAUUUUGAAUUUGCUCCGUCAAUGUCACGUAAACAAAAAGGGAAUCAUCGAACGAGACGACCAGAUUAUAUUUGGCGAGUUUUCCUAGUCCAAAAAUGUUAAGACUGACUACCUCAUUAUUGUUCAGGUAAAGAAACUUCCGCAUAGAACUGCAGGCUCCAACGGCUUAUAUUGAAAAUUGAGGCGGCUGGAUCAUAAAGUGUUGCUGGCUUAUUUUGAUGGAGGGGCGACCAAUUUCGCGGUAUUAGGCAAAGCUCCCCAUAUAUCGCGAAGCUUAGGCGAAUAGAACGAUCAUUUUGCAAUCGACGGAGAAGAAUUUUGCCAAAAUCAUUUUGGCCAUGUUGUUUACUAUGAACUUGAGGGAAAAGUUGAGGUUAAUAGUGUAAGUGUUGUGAUUUAAGGAAGGAUUUAAGAUCAACACUGUCGGUGCUCACUAUGGGAUGAAAAAGAGUCAAGUCAGAUCCCUGGGCUGGUGAUAUGAAGAAUUUAGAUUAUUUUCAUACCUGCCAUAGUAGCAGAAAAAGAUGGAUGGCGACAGGCAAGGCACAUGUUCAUGCAAACACAGAUGGAUUUCCACAGGACAUUCUCUGUGGCAUCCAGCGUUUGGGUUUGGCCUCAUUGUUGUGUUUGUGACUGGACCCUCUGUUGAAGUUUACUUAUACAUAUAU